GAAAUAAUAAAAAUAUUAAAUUUCUAAUUUAAUUAAAAAUAUUAAAUUAUUUUUAUUUCU
rnacentral:tRNA from 1 species